GAGAAACGAAAUACCGCAAAGAAUAUUAUAUCGAAUCGCUCCGCCAUCGCCACCACCGUAUAAUAAUGUUGAUUUUUUUUUUUUAUAGAACAAUAUAAUAUAAAGACCGAUUUUAUUAUGUGAAAUUGCUCGGCAGCAACGGCCGGAUAACGAUGCGGAACGAUCAAAAACAAUAAUGUCCUUAAGUUGUGAUCGCGCACUGUACACAAAUCGCCAAUUAAUUUAUGUGAAAACGCAGAAUAGCCCGUUUAAAUAGACUGAACGCUAAAAAAAGCGCCAAACUUCGUGUCGUGAAAUGUUGCCAUUCUCUGAUUGGUCCAACUAUGUGGUACGAUAUGGUUUAUACCACCAUUUUUAUGAUUUCAACUGUGGUUA